rnacentral:rRNA from 1 species
GACGAACGCUGGCGGCGUGCUUAACACAUGCAAGUCGAACGGUAAGGCCCUUCGGGGUACACGAGUGGCGAACGGGUGAGUAACACGUGGGUGAUCUGCCCUGCACUUCGGGAUAAGCCUGGGAAACUGGGUCUAAUACCGGAUAGGACCACUGCCUGCAUGGGUGGUGGUGGAAAGCUUUUGCGGUGUGGGAUGGGCCCGCGGCCUAUCAGCUUGUUGGUGGGGUGAUGGCCUACCAAGGCGACGACGGGUAGCCGGCCUGAGAGGGUGACCGGCCACACUGGGACUGGGAUACGGCCCAGACUCCUACGGGAGGCAGCAGUGGGGAAUAUUGCACAAUGGGCGCAAGCCUGAUGCAGCGACGCCGCGUGAGGGAUGACGGCCUUCGGGUUGUAAACCUCUUUCAACACCGACGAAGCGCAAGUGACGGUAGGUGCAGAAGAAGGACCGGCCAACUACGUGCCAGCCGCCCGCCGUAA